rnacentral:sRNA from 1 species
UUUUUAUUUAUUCUCAUUCACAUUGUAAUCGUAUAACCUCUAUAAAGCCUAUUACAAUGAACUACGCAAAACAUAUAAUACCCUAGUCCGCUUCGGUUACAGGGUACAAACACCAACAAUACCACCGACAACAACAACACCAUGGAAAUUCUCAUCGACAUUGGGUGCGUUAAUGGUUCGUGCUACAUUGCACAGGGCGAGGUCAUGGUGGUUAAAGCUCAAUGAGGUGUUGCCCAUGAUUUAGUUGGUUUGGCUUGGUUUAGUAUCUCUGUUCCGGUCCCUGUAGUUGUAGCCCCUGGUGCAGGGGUGGCUGCUGUUGUUGUGGUUGCAUUUUGCGGUUGACAGUAGCGCGUGUGUUAUGCAAAUUGAGUGCAGCUGUUAUCAGAGGAGAAGCCGCAAAAAAUGAAAAUAAAUAAAAAAAAUAAAAAAGGAGACGGGAGCAAACAGAUAAUGCUUGAUAAAUGUGUGUAGCCCCCAUAUAGAGCCCCCAAGCCCCCCUCAACACACAAGUCAAUGGCCGCCAGAUGACAACCGGGAUAAAGAGUUUUUCUCUCUCUUUUUCUUUAACAACAUAAAGCGUCUUUUAACAGCUUGGCGCCCCACACACACUCUCCCCCACCUCCCACACUGUAUGUCCCUCUUUAUAUGCAAAUUUGCAAAAGGGUUAACAUUUGACUGAAGGUCAGUUGGCAUUUUGUUCGACUUUUCAACAAUAUAGAUUGUAUAUCAUUUUUUUUCCCCCUCCCUCCAUCCCUAUCUCUGUGUUGUUCAUUUUUAACGACAAAAUUGAUUGACAUUUUGCACCCUUGAGGCGGCUGUAUUCAAUAUUCCGAGUGAACCGAAACGGAGAUGAGUUUGUUCUGAUAAAGCCUUUAAGCCAUUUUUAGUUGAUUGUGGUACGGAAAAAAAUCAGAAGACAUCGAUGGUUUAGUGGAUCGACCGGGGGAUACCCAUUGUUAUGGGGGGCGGACGAAGCUCAAUUCAAGACGAUAUUGAUUAU